rnacentral:rRNA from 1 species
AUGUCUGUGUGUAUAUAAAUAUUUAGUCUGACCUGUCCACUGAAAUUUUUUAAAGGACUGCGGUAAUUUGACCGUGCGAAGGUAGCAUAAUCAAUAGUCUUUUAAUUGUAGGCUUGAAUGAAAGGUUUGACGGAGGAAUGGCUGUCUCUUUAAUUGAUAUUGAAUUUAACGUUUAUGUGAAAAGGCAUUAAUAAAUUAAAGGGACGAUAAGACCCUAUAAAAUUUUACAUACAGUAUUUUUUAAUAAAAUUGUUAUAAUAAUGAUUAAAUUAUAUGAUUAUGUUUUACUGGGGCGGUAAGAAUAUAAAUUUAACUGUUUUAAAUAUAAAAUACUUAUAAGUAGAUAAUGGUCCUUGAUUAAGGAGUAAAGAGUAAAUUACUUUAGGGAUAACAGCAUAAUUUCUUUUAAGAGUUCUUAUCGAAGAAGAAAGUUGUGACCUCGAUGUUGAAUUAAAUUUUCCUUUAGGUGUAGAAGUUUAAAGGGAGGGCCUGUUC